ACGGCGCGGGCGGCGGGGAGCAAGCUUAACUGCCGGCCUAUUUUCUCCCCCGGGCCCUCGCUCCGGGGUGGACGCCCGAGCGCCGGCGCCGCCUCCUCCCCCGUGGGCAGUGAUGGUACCUGCCGGCGUCCGGCGAGCGCCCGGGCCCAGGGGCCCCCUUCUCUCUGCCCACGCGCACGCCGCCGCGCUCCGCCCAGCAACAGAGUCCCCGCCGGGCGAGAGCGGUGCCACAUCCGGGUACUGGCGCACCGAAGGCCGCAGCAGCACGUUCUCUGAGGGAUUAGGAGAGGGCUCCUCAGUAACAGUACGGUGGAAGGGUUUUGGAGAGUUGCGCGACUGGAGAAAGAAAGCAGAGGAAAAUCGCUCCCUAAGCGCCUCACCAAGGCCCUGUGAGGGUGCGCAUGCGCACGUCCUGUAAACGCUAAGGGGCAGACGCCCAGCCCCAGUCUGAGACGAUGGAGGGGCGGUUCCCUGGAGUUGUUGCGGACCGGUUGUGCCGCGCGUCCCAUUGGCUGUGAGGGAAGGGGCGGGGCAAGGAAGUGCGUCUGGCUGAUUUUGAGGUGAGACUGGAGGCAGUGAGGAUCUGGAUGUGGUCUGGGCUGCUGAGACCGGGUACCUCUGGUGAGGGGAAGGGAAAAGGAGAUUUGGACACACAGACAUAUGGGGACGAAGGCCAUGUGACAACCGAGGCAGAGAUUGGAGUGAUGCUCCUGUAAGACAAGAAUGCCAAGGAUUGCCAGCAACCAGGAAUAAGCAAGGAACGAUCCUUCCCUGCUGCCUUCAAAGAGAGAGCACAGCCCUGACAACACCUUGAUUUUGGAUUUCUAGGCUCCAGAACUGUGAAAAAAUAAAUGUCUGUUGUUUUAAUCCA